rnacentral:rRNA from 1 species
CCCUUAGAUGUUCUGGGCCGCACGCGCGCUACACUGAUGCAUUCAACGAGUCUAAAACCUGCUCUGAUAGGGGUGGGUAAUCUUUUGAAUGUGCAUCGUGAUUGGGAUAGAUGAUUGCAAUUUUUCAUCUUCAACGAGGAAUGCCUAGUAAACGCAAGUCAUCAGCUUGCAUUGAUUACGUCCCUGCCCUUUGUACACACCGCCCGUCGCUCCUACCGAUUGAAUGAUCCGAUGAAUAUCAUGGAUUGAGGAUGCAAGCAGGUUCGCCUGUCUUCAUCUUCGAGAAGUGAAGUAAAUCUUAUCAUUUAGAGGAAGUAAAAGUCGUAACA